rnacentral:lncRNA from 1 species
UCGGUUGUUUAUGUGAAUUUUGGCAGUCUAGCGGUCAUGACACCUGAACUUGUUGUUGAGUUUGGCUGGGGACUUGCAAAUACAGAUUAUCCCUUCUUGUGGGUAAUUAGGCCUGAUUUCGUUGCUGGCGAAUCGGCGAUUUUUCCACCUGAGUUUGUGGCUGAAACCAAGGGAAGGGGUGUAAUAGUAAAUUGGUGCCCACAAGAGCAAGUCCUUAACCACCCAUCAGUUGGAGGGUUUUUGACACACAGCGGCUGGAAUUCAACCAUUGAGAGUUUGUCUGCCGGAGUGCCUAUGAUCUGUUGGCCACUCUUCGCGGACCAGCCAACAAACAGCUGGUGUACUUGCAAUCAAUGGGGCAGUGGCAUGGAGAUGGAUAAGAAUGACAAGAGAGAGGAAGUGGAGAAGAUUGUUAGAGAGUUAAUGGAGGGAGAGAAGGGUAAGACAAUGAAAAGUAAGGCCAUUGAGUGGAAGAAGCUAGCAGAAGAAGCAACUGGUCCACAAGGUUCUUCAUCCACAAACUUGAACAAUUUAGUGAAUCAAAUGCUAUUAAGAAAAAUCUAGAUCUUAUAUCCAUAAGAAUGUGUUAAUUAAUUAAGUGUAUGUUAUUGCUGGUCUUAAUUUAGAACUAUAAAGAUGUCUUGCAAGAUCUGCAUUUGCAGUCCCUCCCUCUUUACCAUCUAUCUAUAAUUUCGUUUUGCUCAUGAACCAAUGCUUAGCUUGGUUCUACUUUCUUUCUCAAUUUAAUAUUGAUAUACAAGAGAAAACUAAGAUUCUGACCAAAAAAAAAUUAGCAGCUAUUGAAAAAAAAUGGAUGGUGACAAACUAGCAAAUAAUAUGUGACCUUAGCUCUAUUUUCUUAUUUAAUAUUGAUAUACCAGGGAAAACUAAAAUAUUAUCACAAAAAUAUUUUAGGAAUUAGGUUUCUGAUUUUUAUAUUUUAAUUUCAAUUUUGUUUGGAUCUAAAAAAUAGUUUGGAGUUCGAUACCAAAAGAGUUUUAGAUCCUAAAAUUAGUAUUUUAAAAUGUGAUAAGAUAAGGUGCAAUGCGGGAGUUUCUGUAUAAUACAAUUAUAUAAUUAUAUUGAUAUGGACUAAUUAAAAUUCGUUAGAUUAAUCGAGUGGUUAAUAUUAUCUUAAAUACGCAUAAAUGCACCAAUACUAUUCAAUUGAGAUUUUAAAAGACUAUUUAGGUAUAAAAAAAGUCUUGCAGAUUUAAGAAAAAUGUAAUGACUUAUAGAAUUUUAUUUAUAGAUUUUUAUAAUCAAGAUUUGAGAUAUGGUUUGGUAUUUAUACUUCCUACUAAAAAAAUCUCACAAAAUUCAACAUUUAAAAAAAUACCUUCGAAAUUAGCAAAUUUUUUAAUACCAUAAAACUUUUUGUUACUUGUUUAAAGUCUUAAUUGAAUACCACUAGAUUUGGCCACUCUCUUUUAAAAAUCAUAAUAGUCCUAAUGGAAACCACAAUACUUGUUUAGAUAAUUUAAAAGUCUUAAUUGAAUACCACAAGAUUUAUUUAUCCCAAAAUAGUCUUUUAAAAUCCCAAUUAAAUACACUAAAUGCAGAAGCUCGGGAUUCAAUGGCUAGUAAAGGAGAAAAGAUUCGUGCUCAAGUGGUUGAGUUUUGGAUUGGCUUUGCAAGAUUAGUUGUUUUCUUGAAUAUGAUAUGAGAUAGGACCUAAACUUGUAUGCCCUCGUUUCAUUUUUCAAUAUAUUCAUGUGGCUUUCUUUGUAGCUUUUGAUUGAUUACGUUUCUUUGUAGCCAUAUGCUGUUUUUUUAUAUAUCAUUUGUUAGUUGGUGGUUCUUGACUUUGUCUUAACACCAAACAUAAAAAAAUAAAUUAAAAAAUAAAAAAUUUGUCCCAAUGAGCUGAAGAUUCUGACAGAAACUAAGAUUCUGACAAAAAUAUUUUAGUCGCUAUUGGAAAAAAAUGGAUGGUGACAACAAAAUUACUAUAAAAUGGUGGUGGUGGUCCUCUAUGUUUGCAAAACUAGUAUAAGGGAAAAGAGUCGUGCUCAAGUGGUUUGUUGCCUUUUUUUUUUUCUCGGUUGCAUGAGUUUCGGAUUUGCAAGAUUUGUUGUUUUCUUGAAUUGAAUAUGACAUGAGAUUGGACCAAAAUUGGUGUUUGAUAAGGACUGAAAUGUUGUUUGCAUGUAAUGUAUGGCCCUCGUUUCAUUUUUCAAUUCAUGUAGCUUUCUGUCUUGCUUUUGAGUGCCUUAUUAGUGAUUGAUUCAUAUACGUCUGUAUAGUAACAUACAAGUUACAAAAUUCUAACAAAUAAUGGUGAUCGCAGAUAUAGGCUUAGUCAAGUUAGUUAGGACAGAUUGCCCUAUAUUCUGCAUCCGAGUUCGAAUUCUCUUCCCUUUAGUUUAGACUAAAUUAAAGUAAAAUAUCAUUUCUAUAAAAUAAAAAUAAUGGUGAUAAUAUAUAUUCAAUGAUAUCUCUUGGUGCUUUUAGGUUGUCUGCCAUUUGCUGUUUUUUUAUAUAUUAUUUUUCAGCCUAGUGGUUCUUGAUUUUGUCUUUCUUGCAGCAGUAGAAAAAGGAACAAAUCCAGCCGUCCAUUACUGUCGUAUAACCUGCUGACUCUUUCUAGGCUGCCGGGUCUCCUUGUCAUAAGUCAGACAUGGCACGAAAAUGUUGUUAGAACUAUAAAGUUUUACUGCAUUUGUGUUGUGAGUGCAAAUAUUGUUCAUAUGUGCAUACACUGACUGUACACACAAUCUAAGAUGAGCUCCAUAGAAGUUCAAGGCAAUAAGCCUCAUGCUGUAUGCAUUCCCUUUCCAAUUCAAAGCCAUAUAAAGGCAAUGCUGAAAUUAGCAAAGCUCCUACACCAUAGAGGUUUUCAUAUAACCUUUGUUAACACAGAAUUCAACCACCGCCGCUUUCUUAAAUCUCUUGGACCUAACUCCCUCGAUGGCUUGCCUGAUUUUCAAUUCGAAACCAUUCCAGAUGGUCUUCCAGCUUCAGAUGAGGAUGCCGGCCAAAACGCCUAUUUGCUUUGUGAUUCCAUCAGAAAAAAUUUCUUGGCAGUAUUUCGUAACCUCCUUUUAAAACUCAAUGACAUGGCAACUUCUAAAAAUAUUAGUAAUCCUCCAGUGACUUGCAUUGUUUCAGAUGGUUUCAUGACUUUCAGCAUCACAGCUGCUGAAGAACUUGGAAUCCCUGUUGCACUGUUCUUUACUAUUGCUGCAAUUGGAUUCAUGGGCUGUAAGCAAUAUCCCACUUUGGUAGAGAAAGUACUUGCACCACUCAAAGGUGAAAGAAGUAUUCAUAAUAUUGAAGCAGUAGAGCAAUUUUUUGCUAAAUUUCUUCUUGGUUUUUUUCAAAAUGAUGAUUAAUUUUUUCUUGACUUGGGUGUUGCAGAGGAGAGUUAUUUAACAAAUGGCUUUUUGGACCAGGUCAUAGAUUGGGUUCCCGGAACGAAAGCUAUUCGUUUAAAGGAUCUCCCAAAGUCCUUUCAAACUACAAACCCCAACGACAUCUUGUUUAAAUUAACCUUGGAAGCAAUGGACAGAGUUGAUAAAGCUUCAGCAGUUGUUCUUCAUACUUUUGAUGAGUUGGAGGCAGAUGUUUUGCAUGCUCUCUCAUCAAUGCCUCCACCUGUUUAUACCAUUGGCACUCUCCGGUUACUUCUCAAUCAGAUACCACAACACCCUUUGAAGUCCAUGGGAUAUAGUCUAUGGAAAGAAGAAAUUGAAUGGUUCCAAUGGCUCAAUGCUAAGGUGCCAAACUCGGUUGUUUAUGUCAACUUUGGCAGCAUAGUGGUCAUAAAAUCAGAAGAUCUUAUUGAGUUUUGUUGGGGACUUGCAAAUAGCAAGCUUCCCUUCUUCUGGGUAGUUAGACCUGAUCUGUUAGUUGGUGAAUCAGCAAUUUUGCCACCUGAGUUUGUUGCUGAAACUAAGGGAAGAGGUUUGGUAGCAAGCUGGUGCCCACAAGAGCAAGUCCUUAGCCACCCAUCAAUUGGAGGAUUCUUAACACACAGUGGUUGGAACUCAACCAUUGAGAGUCUUUCUGCAGGAGUUCCCAUGCUCUGUUGGCCAUUCUUUGCCGAACAACGAAUAAAUUGUGUCUAUACUUGCAAUGAAUGGGGCAUUGGCUUAGAGAUCAAUAAUGAUGCCAAGAGAGACCAAGUAGAGAAUGUUAGAGUACAUUGUUUUAGCAGUUUGUAUAUUUUUGGGAAGAAGAAAGAGAUCACAAAGAAUGUAUGAGGGAGAGAACGUUGCUCUCUUAGAAACUUGUAGAUAGAUCAAUUCGUAUUACACUCUACAUGUAUGUAAGUGUGUGUGAGAGAAGAAUCUAAUUCUCUAACUGAUUUACAAAAGUUAUUCAAUCCUAGCCUUUGAUUCCAUCAUCCUAUGAGAUGAUCCCACUUGUCAUGAUCUGAUACUUAGAUCCUAGGCUAGCUAAGAGACCACUUGGACUAUGAUCCAAUGGCUCAAAUUACAUUAAGGAAAAAAAUAAAGCUUAUAGAGUGAAACAUAGACAGACUUUGUAACUUUGGCUCCAAGGCAUUCAGCUUAAGGGUUUACACAUCAACACUCCCUUCUAACCCUUUAGCUGAUUUCACACCAAGUAAGUCUCUUAGAUACACAAAACGAUCCUUGGACAAAGCCUUGGUUAGGAUGUCUGCAAACUGAUCUUCUGUUUUGCAGUAGAUUAGUUCAAUCUCCUUUGCUUGAAUAGCUUCACGAAUGAAAUGAAACUUUCGGCUAAUAUGUCUGGUUUUCUGGUGUAAAACUGGAUUCUUUGCCAUUGCUAUGGCAGAGGUGUUAUCACACAAGAUUGGUGUACCUUCCACUUGCUCUUCUCCAAAAUCUUCAAGAACAAACCUUAGCCACUUAGCCUGUGAUGUUGCUUCAGCAGCACUAACGUAUUCUGCCUCUACAGUAGACAAGGCUACUGUAUUUUGCUUAAUGGAUGCCCAUGAGAACAUACCAGAUCCUAGUGUAAAUGCAUAGCCUGAGGUACUUCUUCUAUCAUCUUCACUUCCUGCCCAGUCACUGUCACAGUACCCUAUCAAAGUAGCUGACUUCCCUUUUAUGAACUCAAUUUCAAAAUCCAGUGUGCCCUGGAUGUAUCUCAAUACCCUCUUGGCUGUUCCCAUGUGUUUUCUAGUAGGAUUAUGCAUGAACCUAGCAAGCAAGCUAGAGGCAAACAUUAUGUCUGGUCUUGUAGCUGUCAAAUAGAGCAGGCUACUUACAAUCUGUCUAUACUCACUCUCAUUUGCUGCCUCACUACCAUCUUCCUUGCACAGCCUCUCACUUGCAACUAGUGGAGUCACCACAAACUUGCAGUCCUUUAAACCAAACUUUUCAAUCACCUUCAAAGCAUAUUUCUUCUGAUGAAGAAAGAUAUGUUUCUCUGUUUGUAUUACUCCCAUCCCAAGAAAGUGAUAGAGCAGUCCAAGGUCAGACAUUUCAUAAUGUUGCAUCAUAUCAUUUUUGAAUUCUUUAAGUAGCUUUGAGCAACUUCUAGUAUAAACAAUAUCAUCCACAUAAAGAGAGACAAUAAGAAUACCUGAAUCUUCAUUAGUUUUGACAUAGAGUGUUGCUUCACUAGGACUUUUCUUGAAUCCUGCCUUGUUGAAGUAAGAGUCUAUCUCAUCAUACCAGGCUCUAGGGGCUUGCUUUAGUCCAUACAAAGCCUUGUUCAACUUAUACACUCUGAUUUCUUCAUUUUCCUUCACAAAACCCUGUGGUUGCUCCACAUAAACCUCUUCCUUUAACACUCCAUUCAGAAAGGCAGAUUUUACAUCCAGUUGAUAUAAAUUCCACUCCUUCUGUGCAGCAAGUGCUAUCAAGGUUCUAAUGGUAUCCAGUCUUGCUACUGGAGCAAAUGUCUCAUUAUAGUCUAUUCCAGGCUUCUGUGAGCAGCCUUUUGCCACUAAUCUGGCCUUGUUCUUCUGCACAGAUCCAUCUAGGUUUAGUUUCGUCUUGUAGACCCAUUUGACACCAAUGAUUGGUUUACCAAAUGGUCUGUCCACUAGUGUCCAUGUGUUAUUUUUCUCAAUCAUUUCCAGUUCAGCCUUCAUUGCAUUUCUCCAUGACUCAUCAAGGUUUGCUUCUUCAAAACCUUCAGGUUCAACAAUGCAAAUGUUGCACUGAGACAUGAUUUCAUUUACACUUCUCCAUUUCUUUGGUGUGUGGUCAAUGGCUUGUGAGCUUCCACUUAUUCUCCCAUCUUGCAGGAUAGAGUUUUCAACCAUUUGAGUUGAUAUGUCCAAGUCUUGACUUGGUUCAUCUUGCACUGUGGUUCCUGCAUCCAUUUGCAGUGGUGUGUCCAAGUUUAGACUUGGUUCACAGUUCUGAUUUUCAGUAGGCAUAGGAACUGUUAUUUCUCCCUCUUGUGCAUUAUCCCACUUCCAUAAACCAUCCUCAUCAAACUGCACAUCUCUGGACAGAAUUAUCUUCCUAGUGCUUGGAUCAAAUAGCCUGUAACCUUUUUCACACAGUCUAUAGCCUACAAGAAUACACUUAUGACUGUUUUCCUCAAGCUUGUGCCUUAAUGCUGAAGGAAUUAGCACAUGACAAGGUGAUCCAAAAAUCUUUAAGUGUGCAAUUCCUGGUUUUCUCCCAGUGUAGGCUUCAAAAGGUGUUACUUUGUUUAGAGACUUAGUAGGACAUCUAUUUAAUAGAUAAACUGCAGUAUUUACAGCCUCUGCCCAAAAUUCAUAGGGGAUACUCUUUUCAUGCAGCAUGGACUUUGCCAUUUCAACUACUGUUCUAUUCUUCCUCUCGGCUACUCCAUUUUGCUGAGGGGAGUAUGCCACUGUUAACUGCCUUUGAAUGCCAACCUCUGCACAGAAACUGUCAAAUUCACUUGACAGAAACUCCCCACCCCUGUCACUUCUCAAGCCUUUUAUCUUAUACCCACUUUGCAGCUCAGUCAUGGCUUUGAAUUUUCUAAAACACUCCAAUGCACUUGACUUGUUUCUAAUAAAGUACACCCAUGACAUUCUAGUGCAGUCAUCAGUGAAUAGCAGGAAGUAUUUAUUUCCUGAGAUUGAGUCUGUUUUCAUUGGUUCACAGAUAUCUGUGUGAACCAAUUCCAAAGGGUAUGAUGCUCUCCAAGUAGACUCCAAGGGGAAGGAAUCUCUGUGUUGCUUUCCUAGCAUGCAGCCUUCACAAACCACUGAGACUUGAUCCAAAUGAGGUAGGCCAUGAACCAUGCCCUGAUUCUCAAGCAGUUUUAUGCUUCUCUCAUUUAAGUGUCCUAACCUCUUGUGCCAUGUCUGCAGGCAGUGAGAAACACUUGCUCUUAAAGCCAACUCACUUGCAGGCAUCAUUGUAAGUGGAAAACAUCUGUUAUUGGUCAUUUGAACCCUCACAAUCAGAUUUACUAGUGACUGAUCAUCAUAAACAUUCACCAUAUUCCCUCCAAACACAAGAUAAUAACCAUGCUCCAUCAUUUGCCCACCACUGAGUAGAUUUUCUUUCAGACCAGGUACAAGCAUUACUUCUUGAAUGUGCUUCUUCCCCAGCUUGGUUUUUAUCACAAGAGUUCCUUUUCCUGCCACUGGAACUACCUCUCCAGUCCCCAUCUUGACUUUAGAAGUCAAAUUCCUUUGAAUAUCCACUAAGAGUCCCUCAUCUCCUGUCAUGUGGUUACUACAACCACUAUCAAUAUACCAUGAGUGAUUCUUUUUCACACCUGUUGCAGCAUUGCACAUAUAGAACAAAGUACCUAUUUCCUCCACCUGAUUUGCAUAGUUCACCUUAUGUGCAUAUUUAUUUCCAUUGCACUCUCGGAUCAUAUGCCCAAAUUUUCCACAUCCAUGGCAUUUAGGUUUGCCUUCAAACCAGCACUUGCCAGAAUGCAGCUUAUCACAAUGUUUACAGGCUAUUUUGUUACCAUCACUUGACUUCCAGUUUUUCUGAGAUUUUUGGUCUCCAGAAAAACUGCCACUCUUAGGAUUCUUCUCCUCAAUAUUCAGGCUAGCAAAGGCCCUUUCUGUAGAAUUUUCAGUAUGGCGAUCCAAUCUGAGCUCAAAGCUCUUCAAGGAGGCAACCACCUCUUGCACUUCCAGAGUUUCUAGAUCCUUAGAAUGCUCAAUCACAGAACAAAUAGGAUCAUAAGAUUUUGGCAAACUAAACAGCAAUUUCUGCACUACUCUCUCCCUAGAUAGUUCCUCACCAUAACUCUUCAUGUGAUUCAAGAUAUCAAACAAUCUAGCAAGAUAUAUAGAUAGGGAUUCACUGUCUUUCAUGCGAGUAUAUUCAAACUCUCUACGCAAUCCUUGCAGUUUUACAUUUCGUACAUGUUUGUCUCCUUUGAAUUCCAGCUUCAGAAUAUCCCAAGCUCCCUUUGAGGUCUCCUCAUUCACAAUUCUGGGGAAGAGUUGAUCUGAGACAGCACUUUGGAUCAAUCCAAGUGCACGAGCGUCCUUUAUCAGAAGCUCAGCCAUUGUAGACUUCUCAGCAACCUUAGUCUCUUCUAUCUCCUUUUCCUUCUUUGAAUCUGAACCAUUGCAGCCAUGUUCAACCAGAUCCCACAGUCCAUGAGAUUUCAGUAUUAUUUUCAUCUGAAUGCUCCAGAACUCAUAGUUUUCUCCAUUGAACACUGGUGUGCGAAGCUCAGAAGUGCUAGAUCCUGUCAUGUGAGACAUUGGAUUCAAGAAAUCUCAGCUGCAAUCGUCGAAAGAAGCUCAGAACCAGCUCAAAUCAAUUCCUCCUCCCUGUUCACAGAUUCACACCCAGCUCAAGUGAUCAAACUUGGCUCUGAUACCAUGUUAGAGUACAUUGUUUUAGCAGUUUGUAUAUUUUUGGGAAGAAGAAAGAGAUCACAAAGAACAUAUGAGGGAGAGAACGUUGCUCUCUUAGAAACUUGUAGAUAGAUCAAUUCGUAUUACACUCUACAUGUAUGUAAGUGUGUGUGAGAGAAGAAUCUAAUUCUCUAACUGAUUUACAAAAGUUAUUCAAUCCUAGCCUUUGAUUCCAUCAUCCUAUGAGAUGAGCCCACUUGUCAUGAUCUGAUACUUAGAUCCUAGGCUAGCUAAGAGACCACUUGGACUAUGAUCCAAUGGCUCAAAUUACAUUAAGGAAAAAAAUAAAGCUUAUAGAGUGAAACAUAGACAGACUUUGUAACUUUGGCUCCAAGGACUUUGGCUCCAAGGCAUUUAGCUUAAGGGUUUACACAUCAACAGAGAAGCUCAUUAAAGAGUUAGUGGAGGGAGAGAAGGGUAAGAAAAUGAGAACUAAGGCUAUGGAAUGGAAGAAACUAGCAGAGAAGGCCAUCAGUCCUGAUGGUUCUUCAUACGCAAACUUAGACAAUUUAGUGAAUCAAGUUCUAUUAAGAAAAGGCUAGGUGCUGUCCGUAUGAACUUCUUAUUGGGUUGGGUUUGUUGUUGGUCUAAAUGUAGAGCCUAGAGCCUAGAGGCUAUCAUCUCUACAUGGAUCCGAAUCUUCAAAUUAUUUUUAAUCCGUUUCAGAUUCUUAGCGCAAGUUGUGGUUGUAUUCUUGCACUCCUAUGAAGGAGAGUAUAUUCCAACAUUAUGGAAAUGUUAUUUGCACAUCCCAUAUUUAGUAGCCAUUUUCAACAAUAUUAUUAAUUUUGUUUUAUAAUAUGAAACUUAUUAAACAAAAAAUUAUGGUGCCAUGGUGCCUGUUGGAACCGGUAUCAGCCACUCUAUUUAAACACAAGUUCUAGGUCUGUACAAUUACAUCAAAUUCGCAGAGAACGUUCAUACCAUCAUUCAUGUAUAGCCUCAGAGAUAAACACACAAAUUUCGCUAGAAAUCAAAACCCUAAUGCUAGGACUUUGAUUUAAGUAGUUGUAUCCUAGUGGAGCAAACUCCUGGCAAAAUACAAACAUUGAGCAGGAUGAAAUUCUGUUUGAAAUACAUUGCAAUUCUGCAAGCCUCUAUCACUAUUUAACAUACCAUGAGACUAGAAGAGACCAGAAGAAGCUAGUAAGCUACAUCCCUUGUGAGUGUGUGUGGUGGACCACCAUCUGCCAAAUGAAAAGUGAUAAACAAAUUCACAAUUCAUAAGAACAUUAUGGCCAUAAUUCAUAUGAGUGACUAUGCAUCCCUGACAUGUGUGUUUCUGUCAGUGUUGUGUGCGGGUGCAUACAUGGACGGGGUUGGGCAGGCAACAGCCUCCGGGAUUUUCAAUGAACUAAGCUAUUGUCUCUCUCUUUCUUAAGAAAUGCAAAUUUAUUAAUGCAAUUGGCUGAUCCCAAUCACAAUGAAAUUUAGAGAGAAGAGAGGAGGAGGCAGCACCAUACAUAUGGAUACCAGGCUUCAUAGCUAAGCUAUGGAAAGACUUUGGCAAGAAAAUAAAAUGCCAUAUCUAAACCUUGAAAAUUUACUUUCUUACACAGAACUUGAAAGACUCGCAGUCGAUCAAGCUUGAGAGAAGUGAGAAAGCCAAAGCCUUUUUCUCGUCACUUCGCUGUCGAUCCCAGCUCCCUCUCUCUCUCUGUCGAUCAGAUCCAACAGUCGAAUGGGCCUUUGGCUAUGGGGAUGAGUUUUGGACCGUUGCAUGUAAAGCAUAUCUGAAAUCUAGUCAAUAUUUACCCUUAAUGCUCUUUGUAUUCUGCCAGGGUAGAAUCGACAUUAUCCAUUCUUUAUGUUCGUAAGCUGACCCCAAAUGAGCAAGCCCAGGUCCCAAAAUCCAAGCCGAAGCCCUUCACCUUCAUUGAAACUAGCCCCUUGGCACACGUUAAUACAUGUGCCAAUUAGUUUUUUUAUUUUUUAUUUUUUAUUUUUUAGAAUUAAGAAAAGAUAACAUGGAUAAUUAUGUUCUAUAAAAGUAAGACAUAUUAUGUGAUUUUGUUUUUAAUUUUAAUUUUUUAAUAUUAAAAAAAUGUGAAUUUACCAUAUUAUCCUCAUAUUAAUAAUUUCAAUUCUUAACGUUUGAAUUAACCAAUGACAUUUUUUGGUAUUUUGAAUAUUUCACCAUUCUCUGCCUUUCGUUCUAUAUAUGUAGAUGCUUCUUUUUUUUUUUCUUUUUUUUUGGUAUAGUACAUGACUAAAGGUUAUGACUUCUACCUCAAGUAAGAGCUAACUAAACAAUAACAUCUUUUCGCUAAUAGGAUCUAGUCCAGUGGAAAAAAAAAUUCAACAUCUUUUCAAAUGAAUUACUUUUUACUUGCAAGCGACUUUUAAGUCUUCAGUGGGUUUGUCAUGGGCAAGUCCACUGUCCACCCAUGCAGCGUAGCGCCCCACCCCCCCGGGCAAAUGUUAGUCACAUGCUGGAAACCUUGCAAUUAAUUUUCCUUUUAUGAAAAAAUAAUAAAAACCAGGAAAAUGAAAUUCAUGAUAUAAUUCAGGCUUAUUUACUGUAGCACUUCCUGAAACUUCGGUUAAAUCUCACUUAAGCCCCCUAAAGUUAAAAUGGCCCACUUAACCCCCUUGACCGUGGUUUUGUGUUCCACUUCUCCUCCCACCGUUAACGCCAUCCAAAAUACCGUAAAAAAAGCUGACGUGGCAGGGGCAUUAUGGUAAAAGCAUCUACGAUGGCCAAUUGCUGACUGUAGUCAACAUCCUACGUGGCAUAGUGGACCCCACAGGCAUUAAAAAUCCUAAUCUAAGCGACUGAGUUUGUAGAGUCUGGCAAAAGAACCCCAUUCUCAGUCGAUAUAAUUUAAGGAUUAGGGUUUGGACUGUAUAAUCGGAGGGAGAGAGAGAGAGAGAGAGAGAGAGAUUCAAACAUCUGAAAAGAAGCGAAUAUUGCAGUGAAAUCAGAAGAAUCAAAAUCUUGGCAUUGCGAGAAUAUUGGAUAGAUUGAAAAGGACAAUGACGGUGCCGAGAGAGAAAUGAGGUUCUUAACCCGAGUACGGUAAGUGGCCCUUUGCUUUUGAAAUGGAAUCAACGAAAGCGAUAGAUUUAUAAAGUGUGGUCCAGGUUUAAGCUUAUUUAUUGUCUGUUUUCUUUGUUGGGUCGGGUCCAAAGGUGUUGAGUUUGAUUAGCCCGGAAUAAAAAAUUGUUGUGGUCUCAUAUGUGUUGCUAUUAUGUGUUCUUGUUUACUAGUUGUUUAAAGGUUGUUUUAGUGUUUUAAACAUGUUAGUUGCGUUUGAAUCUUGCUCCAUGUCUGUUUACUGGUAGUUUGGUGGUUGUGUUGUCCUUUUUAAACUAUACAUAUGACUAGGCAGUGGUUAAACUAUACAUAUGACUAGGCAGUGGUUAAACUAUACAUAUGACUAGGCAGUGAUUAGAGUGUGUUUUUUUAUGUUCUGUUGUGCAUAUGACAAAGGAAUAGUCACCUUUGAAGUAUACCAUGGAGGUAGAAUUGUUCCUCAAUGAGUGGUGGUUUUAUGUGGGGGGGUGGUUUCUGUUGAUUAUUUGGAAUGAUGUCUUCUGGACUACAUAAAUUUGUUAGAGAUAUAUGCGUAUGCAAAAGAGCUUGGGCACCAUGACCAAGUGGUUGUGAUAGGGAUACAAAAUGGUAAAAAAAAGGUAUGUAUAGAUAGUGAUGCUCAACUACUUGAUUGGUGUAAUUUGGUGCCUCCUAGCUUUCAAAGAGUGAUUUUCAUUUACUUGGAACACCCUACUGUUAUUGAUGUGGAUGAAUCUGUAGUGGUUUGGAGGGAGAGGGGUCCUAUUGCAAGAAACCUAACUGCUAAAUUUGAACAGUCUGGUUAUAAGGGUAUGUAUGAGGAGGAUGAGGAGGAUGGCAUUGUUGUUAAUGAUAAGGAUGAGGGUGAUGAAGGUACUAUUCCUGAGGCUAUACAUGUGGAGGAAGAGGGUGAUGAAUGUACUAUUCCUGAGUGUACAAAUGUGGCUGAGGAUAGGCAUGAAGGUACUAUUCCUGAUGGUAUAAAUGUGGUUGACGAGGGUGAUGAAGGCACUGUUCCUGAGGGUAUAAAUGUGGAUGAGGAGAGUGAUGAAGAAACUGUUCCGGAUGGUAUAAAUGUGGAGGAUGAGACUAUAUGAAGAGGGAGAGAAUGACAAAAGGGCUGAAAAUGAGAGUGAGGACAGUGAAGACCCUAAAUUUUAUGACACUGCUUAUGAGCAAAGUGAAGAUGAACAAUGCUUGCUAGAGAAUGAUGAUACAGCAUUUGACAACUAUGUUGACCACAAUGCUCCAAACAUUGAUCCAGCUGCAGAUGAAGGAGAGAAAUCAGAUGAUAUGUCUAUAAGUGAUGUUAAUAGCUUGGAUAGUAGCUCAUGUGAUGAGGUAGAUUUGCCUAUGAGAAAAAGGAAGAGGAAACUGCCCAAGUUUGAAAAUUUUAGGCCUAAAACAGAUUUGAAUAACCCAAUCUUUAAGCUUGGUAUAAGAUUUCCCAGUGUCUAUGUAUUUAGAAAAACAGUGAGAAACUAUUCAGUGUUCAACAGAAUGAAGAUUAAGUUCUCCAAGAAUGAUAAAGAUAAGGUUAGAGCAGUUUGUGAUGGGAUCAAGAAUGGAAAAUGUCCAUGGUUUGUUUAUGUCUCAGCUGUAAAUGGAAGUAGCAUGGUUCAAAUUAAGAGUUACGAAGAGGAGCACACUUGUGGGACUGUUGAACACAAUGUCCAUGCUAACUCAUCAUGGUUAGCAGAGAGGUAUGCUACACAGCUGUCUAGAAUAAUAAAUUGGGAUGUAGGAGCUUUUAAGGAAAUGGUGAAUGAAGAUCUAUGUGUCAUAGCUUCAAGAUCACAGCUAUACAGAGCAAGGCAAAAGGCAACUGCUGUAAGUGAAGGGACUUACACAAAACAGUUUGAGACUCUUUGGGAUUAUGUUGAGGAGCUAAAAAGACAAAUGUGGGAACUAGUGUAAAAAUUAAGUCCAAUUUGGAGGGUGACAAAUCUAUAUUUGAACACAAUGUCCAUGCUAACUCAUCAUGGUUAGCAGAGAGAUAUGUUACACAGCUGUCUAGAAUAAUAAAUUGGGAUGUAUGAGCUUUUAAGGAAAUGGUGAAUGAAGAUCUAUGUGUCAUAGUUUCAAGAUCACAGCUAUAUAAAGCAAGGCAAAAGGCAACUGUUGUAAGUGAGGGGACUUACCCAAAACAGUUUGAGACUCUUUGGGAUUAUGUUGAGGAGCUAAAAAAGACAAAUGUGGGAACUACUGUAAAGAUUAAGUCUAAUUUGGAGGGUGACAAAUCCAUAUUUGAAAGGAUUUAUAUAUGCUUGGCAGCUACAAAGAAAGGAUUUAUUGAUGCUUUGAGGCCAGUUGUUGGUUUGGAUACUUGUCACAUCAAAGGGCAACACCAUGGCAAUUACUAUCUGAUGUUGGUGUUGAUCCUAACAACAGGAUGUAUCCAAUAGCUUAUGCAGUGGCAGAGGCUGAGAAUUAUGCAACUUGGACUUGGUUUUUGGAACUCUUAGCUGUUGAUCUUGGCAUUGAAAAUAGCAAUGGGUAUGUGUUCAUUACUGAUAGACAAAAUGGCUUAAUUGAUGCAGAGGGUGACAUGUUCCCAAACUCUGAGCAUAGGCAUUGCCUUAAACAUCUGCAUGCCAAUUUUAUACUUGCUGGCCAUAGAGGAUUAGUUCUGAAACAACAUAUGGAGGCUGCUGCAAGAAGUACAACUAUACCUUGGUUUCAAGCAGAGAUGAAAAAGCUCCAAGAUUUGUCAGGACCAGCUUUUGAUUGGUUGUCAAGGCUUGAUCCAAUGCAGUGGUGUAGAUCGCACUUCAGAACACACUCAAGGUGUGACAUUCUCUUGAAUAACAUGUGUAAGGCAUUCAACAAGUCUAUCCUUGAUGCUAGAGACAAGCCUAUUAUAACAAUGCUUGAGAUGAUCAGGUAUUAUAUCAUGUUGUUGACGGCAACUAGAAGAGAAGUUAUGGACAAAUGGGCUCAUGAUGUGGGGCCAAUAGUUUUUGCAACUCUUGAGAAACUUAAGAAGCAGUCAGCCUGGUGCAUUCCAAGACUUGCUUGGGAGAGCAAAUAUGAGGUUAAGUGUUUUGGAGACACUCUGGUGGUAGUUGAUUUAAGAAACAGAAGUUGUUCAUGUAGGCAAUAGGAUCUAAUUGGGAUCCCAUGUAAGCAUGCUUGUGCUGCCAUUGGGCAGUUAAAUGGCAAUCACAUCAGCUAUGUCCAUGAUUAUUACAAAAAAGAGGCUUUCAUGAAAGCUUACAAACCCAUAGUUCAUCUAAUGGCAAGCCAAGACUUGUGGGCUAAAACAAAUUUCCUAUAUUUGCUGCCACCUAAGUUUCAUAAGCAGCAAGAGAGGCCAAAGAAAAUCAAGAUUAGCUCAGCCAGUGAACCAUCUCCAAGCUCUAAUCCUAAAGAUAAACAAUUGCCAAUGUAUACUUUGAAAAUCAAGUGUUCCAUAUGCAAGCAACCAUGCCAUAAUAAGAGGAAAUGUCCAAGGGUAAAUUAAGCAGGGAGUAGCAGCCAGGUAUAUUCAAAGCAUGUGAUUUUAAAAGUUCUGUAUGUUUGGCAUUCUGAUAUGGAUUUCCCAAUGAUGUUUGUUGGCCAGGUACCAUCACAAAGGCAAAAGAAGACAGCACAUCAAGGCAACACAUCAACUCGAAGAAUUACAAGACAAUCAAGGCAGAAACAAGCAUCAUCUUCUACACAAUCAAGGCAAAAACAACCAGUAAGUUGGGUUUCUUUUAUUUAAGUAACAUUAUGGAACUCUUUAUUUGUAGAUAUUAAUCCAAAAGCAGCCAUGUUAAUCUAACUCUGCCACAAUUUUCAGAUCAUAUCAAAGGCUUAAAAAAAAGCAAAAAAAAUCACCAAGCAUCUCAGUUUGAACAACCAUCUCAAGCAUCUCAGUUUGAACAAGCCUCUCAAGCUUCUCAGUUUGAACAAGCCUCUCAAGCUUCUCAGUUUGAACAAGCAUCUCAAGCUUCUCAGUUUGAACAAGCCUUCCAGUCUCAAGAACCAAAUUCGUCUCGACCUUUACAAGUUUCCCCACAAAUGAAAGUUAGGUUUAAGUCUCCAGCUAAGAGGAAAGCCUUGGCAAAGUUUAAGCCAUGGAGAUAUUGAAAAUCUCUCCUCUAUUUUGAUGUUUUGCUGUGUCUUGGUGAACACAUAUGUUUUUGGGUAGAAACUGUCUGUUUGGUAUUUUAUUGUCUACUUUGUUUUUGGAUACAAACUGUUUGGCAUGGUCAUUGAUUAAAUAGGUGCAUAUUUAGUGUACGGGUGCAUAUGAGGUCUUUUGUAUUUUGUUUUGGCCUUGCCAUUGUUUAAACAUGUGCUUAGAAAAUCUUUUGAGUUAUGUACAAGACUAUGUACAAGUUAUGUACAAGUUAUUAAUCAAUGGCAAUUGGAAAGCUCUUAAAGGUUUUAAGAAUUAGUGGUUCUUACAAAAGUGUUUAGUCUUAACCAUUACAAAAGGGCUUUGAAACAAUUACAUUUGCAAAAUGCUACAACCAUUACAUAAGACUCUCAUCUACCUAAAUUGUCAUUCAACUAGGUAUAUUACACAACAUUACCUAACUUUCACACAUACCACAUUGCCUAACUUUCAAACAUACCAAUUGCCUAACUUACAUUACACAACAUUGCCAAACCAAACCAUAAACACAAAGGCCUAAGAAAUAAACAGAGCAAUCCAUAACUUCUUCUCUCUUGCUCUCGCACGCCCAAUAUGAUCUUCAACUUCUCUCUUUGUCCUCAGCAGCCAAGCCAUCAUAGCUCUCUCACGGGAAGGCAUUUCAAUAUCAACCCAUACAAAAAACCCACAACCGUUUUUCCUCCUCUGCAUUCAAACAACAAUUCCAUCACAUUCUCACAAUUUUUUGUCCAAUUUUAGAUAAAAUAGCAAAUCCAAAACCUACCUCUGACUUUGGAGACACAAAGAACCUCCGAAGUGGGUUGGACUCUGUCCAAGAAGUCUACAACCGAGCAAGCCUCUCACAAUAGCAAUGAGGUGCAGCAAUGGCAAGCUCCUCUCCUCAUAGAGGUUCUUUCCUCAUCUUCACACCCUUUAAUCGAAGAAAGAUGGAGAGAUUUUUCUCUGGGGAACCUUAAAUCCUUCAAAUGGUGGGAAGUAAUUUUUCUGGGUUUAAAAACUCUAUUAUUGAAGAAGAAGAGAGAGGAUUGUAAUCUGGGGUCCGCUUCACCCCCUUUAGUCGCUUAGAUUAGGAUUUUCAACUCCUGUGGAGUCCACUAUGCCACGUAGGAUGCUGACUACGGUCAGCAAUUGGUCACCGUGGGUGCUUUUACCAUAAUACCCCUUCCGCGUCAGCUUUUCUUUAUGGUCUUUUGGAUGGCAUUAGUGGUUUGGGGGGAGGUGUAACACCCCGACUCCAAAUUAAAUGAUUAUUUUAAUCAAUUUUUAUAAAAUUACGAAUUUACCCUUGGGAUAGGGGUAAAUUGGUCACUUUCUUCUUCGGAAGGAUUUUGGGACCACGAGUGGCAUUUCUGAGAAGAUGGUACUGAGACGAAUUCAUAGACACGCGGUAGGCUUGAAUCGGGGUUGUAACGAAAAAGUUACGGGCAAAAUAGUGUCAGUGGCAAACUUGUAAAUAUUUCAAAAAGUUUGGUAAAAAUCAGAUUUUCACCUCAGCUCUCUCUCUCUUCGUGCGCGACACUCUCUCUCUCCUCAAUCUCUCUCUCUCUCCCCGACGUUCACUCUCUCUCUCCUCGGCUUGCCCAGUUCCGGCCACAGCAGGACCCGAGAUCGGUCCCGUUCGACUCGUCUCGUCGCCCCGGUCAAGCUCCGCCCGUUUUCCCCGUCGGAAACCAAGGAUUCCGGCCGCGAGCUCGACGAUUUUAAACCGAAGCCUUCCAGCCGUCGCGCCGCCGCCUCCGCCGCCCAAACCCGGUGAUUGAGGUAUGAUUUCACUUCCAUUUUCCGAGUUCUAGCUGAUGUUGGUAUAGGUUUUGAUUGAUUUCGAGUUUGGAAAACCGAUUAGAAAUCUAGGUUUUGGGCCGAAUUUCAACAUGAAAUUCCGGCCAGUUGCCGGCCGAAUUGGAGCUUCUCGUAGUUGAAUGAAGUGAUCCUGACCUCGAGUAGAAGCUAGGGUAGGAAGGGUGAGCUCGGGUGUGGAGUUUUUCCGUCACCGGAAUUACUCUGCACACCCACGCGCUGCCGGCGCGUGUGGCGGCGCGUGGGCGAGUCUGGCGAGGAUGUAAAUUGACCCGAUGAGAUCCUUAGGUUGUCACGAGCGCAUAGGAAUUCGCGGAUCUCGAUUCGGAUGUCGUUUGGCUAUCGAACGGAUUUUCGCAUAUUAUGCGUUAUCCGAGUUCGAUAGGUUCCGACUGUUAGAUCUUUCCCAAUUUAAAAUAUGUUGUUCUAGGUAUUCCUAGGACCGUAUGGGACUUCACGAAUUCUGAAUCGGAGCCCCGGAUGUUCCGAUGCAAAAAUGCAAAGUUUGCGGGUUAGCAAUAACCGUAAAAUCGUGAACGCUUCCUAAACCUGUAAUCGGACCUUAGGAUACCAUCUUCGACGUGCACGUAUGGGAAUUUGGGGAGUUAAGCAAUUAAUUUGUGAUUUCCGCUUGGACGUGGUUUUUAUAUUAAUUAACGGUUCGUAUUUCGAAAUAGGUAUUUCGACUGCACGCUCGCAACAAGCAGGACCUUCACGUGGUCAGGCAGCGAGGGAAUAUUUGUGAGUGGACUUUGUUUUAACCAUAUGCCUGGUUUUAAUUAAUGAAAGAUUUUGCAUAAUGUUUUAAUGGAUUCUGGAUUUUUAUAUGUCUUAUGCAUGGAUAAAUUCUGAUGGGUGUAUAGCAAUUGGCAAUAUAUUGUGAAAUUGGCAUUUUUGGGUUUUGUGAGUGUAUUUUAUAUGUGGAUUGUGGGGAGGUAUAUUUUGAUAUAUUCUUUUUAGAUGAGAUAUUUGGGUUGUUGGAGGGUGUUAUGGAAGAGUGUGUUUAGAGAGGAGUUGUGGGAUUACACUACGUAAGUACCUUCCCCAGUUACUAGUCUCACUCGCGGCGUUGGAUGUUCCGGCGGGUGAGACACUUUCCGUAUGCGGCGUUGGAUGUUCUGGCGUACGGAAAGAUUGUGUAUAGAGUUUAGGGUCAUCACCAUGGCGUUGGAUGUUCCGGUGUGUGAUGAUCCAGUCUGCGCGCGUAGGACAUAGUUUGAGAGCUACACAUGGCGUUGGAUGUUCCGGUGUGGGAGCUUUGGAGUUUCGUCCCCCGGUUGGACCCCUCAUCCCUAGACGCAGGAUAGCACCUGGAAAUCCUGCGGACUAGUCAAACGAUCCCCCAGUUGGAUUGUUUUCCCCGGUACCUAGGUGGUGUGACGAGUAUACCGUAUAGUUAUUUAUAGUUAAUUAUAUAUAUAUAUAUAUUCUUUUUAUGUGUAUUUAUUGAAUAGGUAUAGUUGAGUGUGAAAGGAAUUGGAGUGUGUUUAAUAGUUGACAGGAGUGGUGAGUUUGAGAGAAUGUGGUUCUUUUUUUUUGAAGGAGAAAACUGAUGUUUUUAGAUGAGUUUUACUGAAGCAUGUUUUGAGUAAUUUCUUAUUGAAUUGUGAACCUGCAUGACUCGAGCAUUAUUUUUACUUGGUGGGGUUAUUAUGUUGUUUUUAACUACAAACCUGGUUUUUGUCCACUCACAUGUUUUCUGUUUUGCGCCCCCCAGCCAGUAGUUGCGCCUGGAAGUGCAAGUGGUGUACGAAAGCGGAUUCGGUGCACCCUUCUAAUUAGGAUCUGUGUAAAUUCUUCUACUCAACUGUACUUGUAAUCUAAAUUCAGUAGAUGCUCUGUAUUGCCAUGGUAGAUUUUACUUGUGAGGCCGGAGGCCACUCUAGUAUGAAUUAUGUAUGUGUGAAAGCAUGCUGCUGGUUGGGAUUAGUAUUACUGUGUGUUGCAGGUUGAAUAAAUUUUGUUGGGAUUGUUUAGAUUGCAGGGGAGACUCUGCCAAAUUUUUGUUAGAAAGUCUCAAUUAUUUAGUAGGUGGGCCCGGCAUCGGGAUGAUGUCGGGAUCAAGACGGGGUCCGCCUCGGUCUUGGGGAAAUUCCAGGGCGGGUCUUGUCAGCUUGGUAUCAGAGCAUUAGGUUCAUUUUCCUUCGACUAUUGCACUUUUGCUGCAUUGUUGAUCUAAUGAUUUCAUGAUUUCUUUGUGUAGAAUCAUGUCAGCUCGCAGAGCUAGAACAAGAGGCCGUGGGCAGAGAUGGGGGCCGAAUCCUCCACCUCCAUCUCCAUCACCCCCUCCUUCACCACCACUACCUUCACCUUCACCUUCACCACCUCCACCUACUGGAGAUAAUGCUUUGGAUUUGAGGCAUGUGCUCAGUCAGUUUACUCAUACAAUGGCUACAGCCUUACGGGGAAGGCGUGGUACGGAAAGUUCGGAAAUUAAGAGAGUUAAGGAACUUGGAGCUAAAGAAUUCCUGGGUAGUACAGAUCCGGCAGAAGCAGAAUUAUGGAUUACCGACGUGGAGAGAAUCUUUGAUGUCCUGGAAUGCCCAGCUGAGGAUAGAGUCCGUUUGGCCACCUUUCUACUCAAGGGAAAUGCGUAUCAUUGGUGGAAAGCAGUAAAAAGGGGUUAUGAAAAUCCGGCUGCUAUAAAUUGGGAAGAAUUUCAACGAGUAUUUUCAGAUCAGUUUUACCCACCUUCUUAUAAACAGGCAAAGAAGUCAGAGUUUCUCUAUCUGAAACAGGGGUCUAUGUCAGUAGUGGAAUAUGAACACAAAUUUAAUGAGCUGUCCAGGUUUGCUCCCGAGUUGGUGGCUACAGAGGAAGACAGAUGUAGACGCUUUGAGGAAGGUUUAUGGUGGGAAAUUCAGGCAGUUGUUACCGCUAGCACCUAUCCAAAUAUGAGGGCUUUGGCUCAGGCAGCAGCAAGGGUGGCAAGGAAACUUGGUGGGAAUGUUGGUAGGCGCCAUAGGGAUGCACCAGGAAUUGGUGGGCCCAGUCAGGGUCCAUCAAAGAGGGGAGGAUCUAGUUCCAGUUCGGCUAGUGGAGGAUGGUCAGGAGGACGGGGAUCUAGUUCUAGCAGUAGGAGAUCUGGUUCUCGUUCGGCUUGGACUCAGUAUUCGGGACCACAGUCUGUAGCUAGCACAGCCAGGGCUCCUUCUAGGUACACUGGGUUGACAUGUUUUCAUUGUGGGCAAGUUGGGCAUAUUGCGAAGGAUUGUCCCAGUUACACUCAGGGAGGUGGAUCAAGCCAGAGUAGUAGCCUGACAUGCUACUUUUGUGGGCAAGUAGGACAUACUAAGAGAAACUGCCCAAUUAUACUCCAGAAUGAUGCAAUGAAUCAGGGAACUGGGGCCCAGCUGGGGCAAGGUAUCUUGGGUCAGAAUCAGAAUCAGGGUGGUGUUUCUUCCUCUGCAGCGGGGUCAUCCAGUAGUAGGGCAUCGUCAUCUUCUAGAGGCAGAGGUGGUAGGCAAUUAAGGGGUCAACCUGGGCGCUCCACUACUCAGGCCCGUGUGUUCUCCAUGUCUCAGCAGGAAGCCUAUGCUACCCCGGACGUGAUUACUGGUAUGAUUCCGAUUUUUGGUUAUCUUGCACGUGUUUUAAUUGACCCGGGGGCCACACACUCUUUUGUAGCACACAAUUUCAUACCGUAUGUCAGUAUUAGACCCACACCUAUGACAGGGAGCUUUAGUAUUUCCCUACCUACGGGAGAAGUCUUAUACGCAGAUCGGAUAUUCAGAAAUUGUUUUGUCCAAGUAGAUGAUGCAUGGUUGGAAGCAAAUUUAAUUCCUUUAGACUUGGUGGAUUUGGAUAUUAUUUUGGGGAUGGAUUGGCUGGAGAAACAUCAUGCUUCAGUGGAUUGUUAUCGGAAGGAAGUAACGUUUCGAAGUCCAGGGCAACCUAGAGUUACCUUCCGUGGGGAGCGUAGAGUUCUCCCUACUUGUCUAAUCUCUGCUAUUACAGCCAAGAAGUUACUCCAGAAGGGAUGUGAGGGGUAUUUGGCGCACAUCAUUGAUACUCGAGAGAUCACCCUAAAUCUGGAAGAUAUUCCUGUUGUUUGUGAUUUUCCUGAUGUCUUUCCAGAUGAUCUCCCUGGUUUACCCCCUGAAAGGGAAAUCGAGUUCACUAUUGAACUUCUUCCGGGCACCAACCCUAUUUAUCUAACCCCCUAUAGGAUGGCACCAGCUGAACUUCGGGAGUUGAAGAUUCAAUUACAGGAGUUAGUAGAUCUUGGGUUCAUCAGACCCAGUGUUUCACCGUGGGGUGCACCUGUAUUGUUUGUGAGGAAGAAAGAUGGAACCAUGAGGUUAUGUAUUGAUUACCGGCAGCUGAAUAAGGUGACGAUACGUAACCGGUACCCUUUGCCUCGGAUUGAUGAUCUGUUUGAUCAGUUGAAGGGUGCUAAGUAUUUUUCUAAGAUCGAUUUGAGAUCAGGAUACCACCAGUUGAGGAUCAGGGAAGAGGAUAUUCCUAAGACCGCAUUCAGAACACGGUAUGGACAUUAUGAAUUUCUGGUGAUGCCGUUUGGGCUGACAAAUGCUCCAGCAGCGUUUAUGGAUCUCAUGAACAGAGUGUUCCGACCCUACUUGGAUCACUUUGUGAUUGUAUUCAUCGACGAUAUCUUGGUGUACUCCCAGACUUUGGAAGGGCAUAAGAAGCAUCUGAGGUUGGUAUUGAGAACCUUGAGAAGGAAGCAGCUUUAUGCUAAAUUUAGUAAGUGUCAGUUCUGGCUGGACAGAGUGGUAUUUCUGGGACAUGUAAUUUCAGCUGAAGGGAUUUAUGUGGAUCCACAGAAAGUUGAAGCUAUUGUGAACUGGGUACAACCCACCAGUGUGACAGAAAUACGGAGUUUUCUAGGAUUGGCAGGCUACUAUCGUCGAUUUGUGGAAGGGUUUUCUUCGAUAGCAGCACCUCUCACACGGUUGACAAAGAAAGAUGUUGCAUAUGAGUGGACGGAAGAAUGUGAACAAAGUUUUAAAGAAUUAAAGAAGCGAUUAACCACUGCACCUGUUUUGGCUCUUCCAGAUAAUGCAGGAAAUUUUGUGAUCUACAGUGAUGCAUCUUUGCGAGGCUUGGGAUGUGUUCUGAUGCAACAUGAUCGGGUGAUUGCUUAUGCCUCGAGGCAACUCAAGAAGCAUGAGCAAAAUUAUCCAGUUCAUGAUCUGGAACUUGCCGCUGUAGUGUUCGCUCUUAAGAUUUGGCGGCAUUAUUUGUAUGGUGAGACGUGUCAGAUUUUCACUGAUCAUAAAAGUCUCAAGUACUUUUUCACUCAAAAGGAGCUUAAUAUGAGACAACGACGUUGGUUGGAAUUGAUAAAGGAUUAUGACUGCACAAUUGAGUAUCAUCCAGGCCGAGCUAAUGUGGUAGCAGAUGCACUGAGUAGGAAGACUACGGGAAGUUUGGCUCAUCUCAGAACGGCAUAUCUUCCGUUGUUAGUGGAACUACGGAAAGAUGGUGUGGGACUGGAAAUGGCGCAACAGGGAGGAUUACUUGCUAGUUUGCAUGUGAGACCCAUUUUGGUGGAGCGGAUAAUUGAAGCCCAGUUGGGAGACCCAACACUUUGUAGAAUAAGGGGAGAAGUAGAAAGUGGUUCGCGGAAAGAUUAUGCAAUAAGGGGAGAUGGGGCGUUGGUAACAGGAACUCGCCUCUGUGUACCUAAGAAUGAUUAUCUGAAAAGAGAAAUCCUGGAGGAAGCUCACUGUUCCACUUACACUAUGCAUCCAGGAAGCACCAAGAUGUAUCGAACCCUACGGGAGUAUUACUCAUGGCCGCAUAUGAAGGGAGAUAUUGCCAAGUAUGUGAGUAGAUGCUUGAUUUGUCAACAAGUGAAAGCGGAGCGACAGAAACCUUCCGGACUUAUGCAACCGCUUCCAAUUCCUGAAUGGAAGUGGGAGCACAUUACCAUGGAUUUCGUUUUCAAGCUUCCACGUACUCCCAAUGGACAUGAUGGAAUUUGGGUGAUAGUGGAUAGACUCACCAAGUCCGCCCAUUUCCUACCUGUUAAGGAAACUUAUUCUCUGACAAAAUUGGCAAAACUUUUUGUGGACGAGAUUGUGAGGUUACAUGGAGCACCUGUGUCCAUUGUAUCGGACAGGGAUGCCCGAUUUACUUCUCGAUUCUGGAAGUGUUUGCAGGAAGCUAUGGGUACUAGGUUGCGGUUUAGCACAGCUUUUCACCCCCAGACUGAUGGACAAUCAGAAAGAACUAUUCAGACUUUGGAGGAUAUGUUGAGGUCGUGUGUACUGCAGAUGAAAGAUUCAUGGGAUACUCACCUUGCCUUGGUGGAAUUUGCAUACAAUAACAGUUAUCAUGCGAGUAUAAAGAUGGCUCCUUAUGAGGCGUUGUAUGGGAGACAGUGUAGGACUCCUAUGUGUUGGAACGAAGUGGGAGAUAAGAAAUUAGAAAAAGUGGAAAGUAUCCGAGCAACAACCGAAAAAGUGAAGAUCAUUAAAGAAAAGCUGAAGAUCGCACAAGACCGACAGAAGAGUUAUGCAGAUAAUAGGUCCAAAGAUCUCGAAUUUGCAGUUGGGGAUUGGGUGUUCCUGAAGUUAUCUCCUUGGAAGGGUGUGAUGAGAUUCGGAAAACGUGGGAAAUUAAGCCCUCGUUAUAUUGGACCCUAUGAGAUUACUGAACGCAUCGGACCGGUUGCUUAUAGACUUGCAUUACCUGCAGAACUAUCUCGGGUGCAUGAUGUGUUCCAUGUAUCUAUGUUUCGGAAGUAUAUGCCAGACCCUUCUCACGUUUUAGAAUAUCCACCUGUGGAGUUGGAAGAAGAUUUGUCAUUUGAGGAGCAACCUGUGCAAAUUCUAGAUAGGAAAGAACAACAGUUGCGCUCUAGAUCCAUUCCAGUAGUGAAGGUUCUGUGGAGAAGCCAAACUGUGGAAGAAGCUACAUGGGAGCCUGAGACACAAAUGAGGGUCAAGUACCCUCAUCUUUUCCAUUGACAGGUACGUGAAUUUCGGGGACGAAAUUUUCUUUAAGGAGGGUAGAUUGUAACACCCCGACUCCAAAUUAAAUGAUUAUUUUAAUCGAUUUUUAUAAAAUUACGAAUUUACCCUUGGGAUAGGGGUAAAUUGGUCACUUUCUUCUUCGGAAGGAUUUUGGGACCACGAGUGGCAUUUCUGAGAAGAUGGUACUGAGACGAAUUCAUAGACACGCGGUAGGUUUGAAUCGGGGUUGUAACGAAAAAGUUACGGGCAAAAUAGUGUCAGUGGCAAACUUGUAAAUAUUUCAAAAAGUUUGGUAAAAAUCAGAUUUUCACCUCAGCUCUCUCUCUCUUCGCGCGCGACACUCUCUCUCUCCUCAGUCUCUCUCUCUCUCCCCGACGUUCACUCUCUCUCUCCUCGGCUUGCCCAGUUCCGGCCACGGCAGGACCCGAGAUCGGUCCCGUUCGACUCGUCUCGUCGCCCCGGUCAAGCUCCGCCCGUUUUCCCCGUCGGAAACCAAGGAUUCCGGCCGCGAGCUCGACGAUUUUAAACCGAAGCCUUUCAGCCGUCGCGCCGCCGCCUCCGCCGCCCAAACCCGGUGAUUGAGGUAUGAUUUCUCUUCCAUUUUCCGAGUUCUAGCUGAUGUUGGUAUAGGUUUUGAUUGAUUUCGAGUUUGGAAAACCGAUUAGAAAUCUAGGUUUUGGGCCGAAUUUCAACAUGAAAUUCCGGCCAGUUGCCGGCCGAAUUGGAGCUUCUCGUAGUUGAAUGAAGUGAUCCUGACCUCAAGUAGAAGCUAGGGUAGGAAGGGUGAGCUCGGGUGUGGAGUUUUUCCGUCACCGGAAUUACUCUGCACACCCACGCGCUGCCAGCGCGUGUGGCGGCACGUGGGCGAGUCUGGCGAGGAUGUAAAUUGACCCGAUGAGAUCCUUAGGUUGUCACGAGCGCAUAGGAAUUCGCGGAUCUCGAUUCGGAUGUCGUUUGGCUAUCGAACGGAUUUUCGCAUAUUAUGCGUUAUCCGAGUUCGAUAGGUUCCGACCGUUAGAUCUUUCCCAAUUUAAAAUAUGUUGUUCUAGGUAUUCCUAGGACCGUAUGGGACUUCACGAAUUCUGAAUCGGAGCCCCGGAUGUUCCGAUGCAAAAAUGCAAAGUUUGCGGGUUAGCAAUAACCGUAAAAUCGUGAACGCUUCCUAAACCUGUAAUCGGACCUUAGGAUACCAUCUUCGACGUGCACGUAUGGGAAUUUGGGGAGUUAAGCAAUUAAUUUGUGAUUUCCGCUUGGACGUGGUUUUUAUAUUAAUUAACGGUUCGUAUUUCGAAAUAGGUAUUUCGACUGCACGCUCGCAACAAGCAGGACCUUCACGUGGUCAGGCAGCGAGGGAAUAUUUGUGAGUGGACUUUGUUUUAACCAUAUGCCUGGUUUUAAUUAAUGAAAGAUUUUGCAUAAUGUUUUAAUGGAUUCUGGAUUUUUAUAUAUCUUAUGCAUGGAUAAAUUCUGAUGGGUGUAUAGCAAUUGGCAAUAUAUUGUGAAAUUGGCAUUUUUGGGUUUUGUGAGUGUAUUUUAUAUGUGGAUUGUGGGGAGGUAUAUUUUGAUAUAUUCUUUUUAGAUGAGAUAUUUGGGUUGUUAGAGGGUGUUAUGGAAGAGUGUGUUUAGAGAGGAGUUGUGGGAUUACACUACGUAAGUACCUUCCCCAGUUACUAGUCUCACUCGCGGCGUUGGAUGUUCCGGCGGGUGAGACACUUUCCGUAUGCGGCGUUGGAUGUUCCGGCGUACGGAAAGAUUGUGUAUAGAGUUUAGGGUCAUCACCAUGGCGUUGGAUGUUCCGGUGUGUGAUGAUCCAGUCUGCGCGCGUAGGACAUAGUUUGAGAGCUACACAUGGCGUUGGAUGUUCCGGUGUGGGAGCUUUGGAGUUUCGUCCCCCGGUUGGACCCCUCAUCCCUAGACGCAGGAUAGCACCUGGAAAUCCUGCGGACUAGUCAAACGAUCCCCCAGUUGGAUUGUUUUCCCCGGUACCUAGGUGGUGUGACGAGUAUACCGUAUAGUUAUUUACAGUUAAUUAUAUAUAUAUAUAUUCUUUUUAUGUGUAUUUAUUGAAUAGGUAUAGUUGAGUGUGAAAGGAAUUGGAGUGUGUUUAAUAGUUGACAGGAGUGGUGAGUUUGAGAGAAUGUGGUUCUUUUUUUUUGAAGGAGAAAACUGAUGUUUUUAGAUGAGUUUUACUGAAGCAUGUUUUGAGUAAUUUCUUAUUGAAUUGUGAACCUGCAUGACUCGAGCAUUAUUUUUACUUGGUGGGGUUAUUAUGUUGUUUUUAACUGCAAACCUGGUUUUUGUCCACUCACAUGUUUUCUGUUUUGCGCCCCCCAGCCAGUAGUUGCGCCUGAAAGUGCAAGUGGUGUACGAAAGCGGAUUCGGUGCACCCUUCUAAUUAGGAUCUGUGUAAAUUCUUCUACUCAACUGUACUUGUAAUCUAAAUUCAGUAGAUGCUCUGUAUUGCCAUGGUAGAUUUUACUUGUGAGGCCGGAGGCCACUCUAGUAUGAAUUAUGUAUGUGUGAAAGCAUGCUGCUGGUUGGGAUUAGUAUUAAUGUGUGUUGCAGGUUGAAUAAAUUUUGUUGGGAUUGUUUAAAUUGCAGGGGAGACUCUGCCAAAUUUUUGUUAGAAAGUCUCAAUUAUUUAGUAGGUGGGCCCGGCAUCGGGAUGAUGUCGGGAUCAAGACGGGGUCCGCCUCGGUCUUGGGGAAAUUCCGGGGCGGGUCUUGUCAGGAGGGGGGGAGUGGAACACAAAACCACGGUCAAGGGGGUUAAGUGGGCCAUUUUAACUUUGGGAGGGUUAAGUCAUAUUUGACCGAAGUUUUAGAGAGUGCUAUAGUAUAAUUAAUUAAUAAACAAAGGCAGGCCAGUACGAGAAAAACUUACUUCAUUGAGAAGAUCAACACAAGCUUUAAGUGAUCUGCCUCCACUAUUGCAACCCUUCAAAUAAAAAGUAAAAAAAAUUCGGGACUGAUCAGAUGAGAGCUCUCAUGAAAGGAAGAAGGAAAAUCAUAAGUUUAGCUUGCAAAACCACUCCAUGUUAUUGGUAUUACUGGCAACAAACAACACGUUUUGAAGGAAGAAAAGAAAAAAAAAAAUCCCACAUGAAAAAUCUGAUGGGUUAGGGUGGGAUUUGAGAUAUGGUUUGGUAUUUUUACUUCCCACUAAAAAAUCUCACGGAAUUCCACAUUUAAAAAAAAAAAAACUUUCAAAAUUAACAAGUUUUUUAAUACCAUAAAACUUUUUGUUACUUGUUCAAAGUCUUGAUUGAAUACCACUAGAUUUGGCCACUUUCUUUUAUAAAUCCUAAUAGUCUUAAUGGAAACCACAAGACUUGUUUAGAUCAUUUAAAAGUUUUAAUUAAAUACCAUAAAAUUUAUUUAUCAUAAAAUAGUCUUUUAAAAUUCCAAUUGAAUACACCGCCUAAAUAUAGAAGCUCGAAAUCCAAUGGCUAGUAAGGGAGAAAAGAUUCGUGUUGAAGUGGUUUUUUCUUGAUUGGUUGAGUUUUGGAUUGGCUUUGCAAGAUUAGCUGUUUUCUUGAAUAUAAUAUGAGAUAGGACCUAAAUUUGUAUGCCCUCGUUUCAUUUUUCAAUAUAUUCAUGUGGCUUUCUUUGUAGAUUUUGAUUGAUUACGUUUGUAUAGUUAAAACAAGUACCUGUUUACAUAAUUCAAACAAAUAAUGGUGAUCGUCAUAUAUAUUUAAUGAUAUCUCUUGGUGCUUUUAGGUUGUCUGCCAUUUGCUGUUUUUUUCUUUUCUAUAUUUUUUGUUUUUUUGUGUUUUUGUGUUUUUUUUUGCGAAAGUUCUAUAUUAUUUGUUAGUUGGUGGUUCUUGACUUUGUCUUAAGACCAAACAUAAAAAAUCAAAUUAAAAAUUAAAAAUUUGUCCCAAUGAGCUGAAAAUUCUGACAAACACUAAGAUUCUGACAAAAAUAUUUUAGCCGCUAUUGAAAAAAAAAUGGAUGGUGACAACAAAAUUACUAUAAAAUGGUGGUGGUGGUCCUCUAUCUCUCCUCUAUCUUUGCAUGGCUUAGUAUAAGGGAAAAGAGUCGUGCUCAAGUGGUUUGUUGCCUUGUUUUUUCUCGGUUGCUUGAGUUUCGGAUUUGCAAGAUCUGUUUUUUUAUUGAAUUGAAUAUGACAUGAGAUUGGACCUAAACUGGUGUUUGAUAAGGACUGAAAUGUUGUUUGCAUGUAUGGCCCUCGUUUCAUUUUUCAAUUCAUGUGGCUUUCUGUCUUGCUUUUGAGUGCCUUAUUAGUGAUUGAUUACGUUUGUAUAGUUACAUACAAGUUACAUAAUUCGAACAAAUAAUGGUGAUCACAAACAUGGGCUUGGUCAAGUUGGCUAGAGUAGAUGUACUCUCCAUUCGGCAUCCGAGUUCGAAUUCUCUUCCUCGUAGUUUAGACUAGAUUAAAGUAAAAUAUCAUGUCUAUAAAAUUAAAAUUAAAAUAAUGGUGACAAUAUAUAUUCAAUGAUAUAUCUCUUGGUUUUUUUAUAUAUUAUUUUUCAGCCUGGUGGUUCUUGAUUUUGUUUUUCUAGGCUGCCGGGUCCCCUUGUCAUAAGUCAGACAUGGCACGAAAAUGUUGUUAGAACUAUAAAGUUUUACUGCAUUUGUGUUGUGAGUGCAAAUAUUGUUCAUAUGUACAUACACUGACUGUACACACAAUCUAAGAUGAGCUCCAUAGAAGUUCAAGGCAAUAAGCCUCAUGCUGUAUGCAUUCCCUUUCCAAUUCAAAGCCAUAUAAAGGCAAUGCUGAAAUUAGCAAAGCUCCUACACCAUAGAGGUUUUCAUAUAACCUUUGUUAACACAGAGUUCAACCACCGCCGCUUUCUUAAAUCUCUUGGACCUAACUCCCUCGAUGGCUUGCCCGAUUUUCAAUUCGAAACCAUUCCAGAUGGUCUUCCAGCUUCAGAUGAGGAUGCAGGCCAAAACGCCUAUUUGCUUUGCGAUUCCAUCAGAAAAAAUUUCUUGGCAGUAUUUCGUAACCUCCUUUUAAAACUCAAUGACAUGGCAACUUCUAACAAUAUUAGUAAUCCUCCAGUGACUUGCAUUGUUUCAGAUGGUUUCAUGACUUUCAGCAUCACAGCUGCUGAAGAACUUGGAAUCCCUGUCGCACUGUUCUUUACUAUUGCUGCAAUUGGAUUCAUGGGCUUUAAGCAAUAUCCCACUUUGGUAGAGAAAGGACUUGCGCCACUCAAAGGUGAAAGAAGUAUUCAUAAUAUUGAAGCAGUUGAGCAACUUUUUGCUUAAUUUCUUGUUGUUUUUUUUUAAAAUGGUGAUUAAAUUUUUCUUGACUUGGGUGUUGCAGAGGAGAGCUAUUUAACAAAUGGCUUUUUGGACCAGGUCAUAGAUUGGGUUCCCGUAACGAAAGCUAUUCGUUUAAAGGAUCUCCCAAAUUACUUUCAAACUACAAACCCCAAUGACAUCUUGUUUAAAUUAACCUUGGAAGCAAUGGACAGAGUUGAUAAAGCUUCAGCAGUUGUACUUCAUACUUUUGAUGAGUUGGAGGCAGAUGUUUUGCAUGCUCUCUCAUCACUGCCUCCACCUGUUUAUACCAUUGGCCCUCUCCAGUUACUUCUCAAUCAGAUACCACAACACCCUUUGAAGUCCAUGGGAUAUAGUCUAUGGAAAGAAGAAACUGCAUGGUUCCAAUGGCUCAAUGCUAAGGUGCCAAACUCGGUUGUUUAUGUCAACUUUGGCAGCAUAGUGGUCAUAAAGUCAGAAGAUCUUAUUGAGUUUUGUUGGGGACUUGCAAAUAGCAAGCUUCCCUUCUUCUGGGUAGUUAGACCUGAUCUGUUAGUUGGUGAAUCAGCAAUUUUGCCACCUGAAUUUGUAGCUGAAACUAAGGGAAGAGGUUUGGUAGCAAGCUGGUGCCCACAAGAGCAAGUCCUUAGCCACCCAUCAAUUGGAGGAUUCUUAACACACAGUGGUUGGAACUCAACCAUUGAGAGUCUUUCUGCAGGAGUUCCUAUGCUUUGUUGGCCAUUCUUUGCCGAACAGCGAAUAAAUUGUGUCUAUACUUGCAAUGAAUGGGGCAUUGGCUUGGAGAUCAAUAAUGAUGCCAAGAGAGACCAAGUAGAGAAGCUCAUUAAAGAGUUAAUGGAGGGAGAGAAGGGUAAGAAAAUGAGAACUAAGGCUAUGGAGUGGAAGAAACUAGCAGAGAAGGCCAUCAGUCCUGAUGGUUCUUCAUAUGCAAACUUAGACAAUUUAGUGAAUCAAGUUCUAUUAAAAAAGGCCAGUUGCUGUCCAUAUGAGCCUUCUUAUUAGGUUUGUUGUUGUUCUUAAUAACCUACAAAAUGUAGAGCCUAGAGGCUAUUGAGCCUUGCUAUCAUGUCUAAUUUCUUGCUUUGCUGUAAGCCAGUUAUAAUAUGAAACUUAUUAAACAAAAAAUUAUGGUGCCGUGGUUUUUCUUCAUGAAUAUGCUGAUAUUUACUACACAAUAAUUAAAUUCAAAAACCAAAACAAAAAUCAAAGGAAAUUAAUUAUUGAAUAGUAAAUAUUGUAUAACCACAAAACAGAACUGAUACCUCAAGGCUGAUCCCUGUACUUUGAAAUUUUGUUCUGGUCACAUCCCAGGGAGGGAGUGGUGAGAUAUGCACUUGGAUUGCAUGUAGAUUUUUCUUCCCAUGCUGUCAAAUGUUUAAGCCUUCAUAAUAACCUGCAUAGUGCAGAUGGAAAUCAUAAUUUUGAAACAAAACUACUAGAAACAAGAACCAGAGCUUCUUAAGAAAAGAGCAACAGAAUAAUGACAGCUAAAUCAUUUACAGGCCAAAAGCCUAACUGCCUAUGAUUCACCAACGAUCAAAAGACGGUAUGUUAGAGUUUUCCUUUCCCAGACAAAAUAAAACAAUCUAGUGCGAGGGAAUGGAAGUCAAGAAAUCGCAAUCCUAUUUGAAAAAAUUUUGUCUAAUAGGAGUUGCAAUCCUAUUUACCCAAAUGAUGUUGUGAAGGCCGAAACAAAAGGUUGUGAUACACAAACUAUCACUAUUCAACAUACAAUGAGACCAGAAGAAGCUAGUAAGCUACAUCCCUUGUGAGUGUGUGGGGGCCACCAUCUGCCAAAUGAAAAUUAAUAAUAAAUUCACAAUUCACAAGAACAUUAGGGCCAUAAUUCAUAUGAGGGCAUAUGCAUCCCUGACAUGUGUGUUUCUGUCAGUGUUGUGUGCGGGUGCAUACAUGCAUGGGGUUGGGCAGGCAGCCUCCGGGAUUUUCAAGCCUCCGUACUGGCUGCCAAACAGUUUUAGGUUUAACGAUUUACGAUUAUUAACAUAGCUCAGACAAUUCACCUAACCUACUUACUUUGACCACACACAUGCUCCAUUCAUAGUAUAAAGUCCAGUGUUAUUGUGUGUGCCAUGGACUUUUUCCUAGAACUCAUUGUCAUUUGGCAACCAAACAUCACCCCACAUUAAGAUAGUACAAAACUGAGAAUUAGAGACACGUUUUUGGGUUAAUUGGAUGGCCUUGCUUUAACAUAAAGAUCAAACCGCACUAUCAUGUCCAGCCUUGAAAUUAUUAUCAUACGACAGAGACACACAAAAGCUAGACUUGCUUGCCUGUAGAGUUAUAAAUUAUAAUGCACGCAUUAUGCAUACACUUAAUCUAGUUCUAAGAUGGAAUUGUAUGUCUUCCAGUUCCACUUCAAAGCCAUAUCAAGGCAAUGUUUAAGUUAGCAAAACUCUUCCACCAUAGAGGUUUUCAUGUGACCUUUGUCAACACAGAGUUCAACCACAAGCGCUUUCUUCAAUCUCUUGGACCCAACUCCCUUGAUGGCUUGCCUGAUUUUCGAUUCGAAACCUUUCCAGACGGUCUUCCAGUCAGUUCAGAUGAGGAUACUUCCCAGGACAUCUUUUUGCUUUUUAACUAAGUGCGAGAUAACUUCUUGCCUCUGUUUCUUAACCUCCUAAAAGAACGCAAUGACAGAGCAGCUUCCAGCAAUACCAACCCUCCAGUGACUUGUAUUGUUUCGGAUGGUUUGAUGCCAUUCCCCAUCACAGCUGCCGAAAAACUUGGAAUUCCUAAUGCAAUGUUCUUUACUAUUUCUGCAGGUGGCUUCAUGGGCUCUAAACAAUAUCCUGCUUUGGUGGAGAAAGGACUUACACCACUCAAAGGUGAAAGAAACUAAAAUUGAAGCACUUGUUUACAUUUAUGAUUCUAUAUACUGCUUGUUUCUAAAGAACAGAUUUGCGUGCCUGAUCAAAGCUUAAUUUUUAGAUGAGAGCUAUUUCACGAAUGGAUUUUUGGACAAGGUGAUUGAUUGGAUUCCAGGAAUGAAAGGUAUCCAUUUACGGGAACUUCUGACAAUGUUUCGCAUUACAAAUCCAGACAACAUCUUUUUUAAGCUCACAGUGGAAACAAUUGAUAGAGUAGAUAAAGCUUCAGCUGUUGUUCUUCUUACAUUUGAUGCAUUGGAACAAGAGAUUCUGGAUGCUCUCUCAUCUAUGCUUAUCCCACCUAUUUAUACAAUUGGUCCUAUUGAAUUACUACUUGUCAAUCAGAUACCAGAAGACCCUUUAAAGUCUUUUGGCUAAAGUCUAUGGAAAGAAGAAACCGAGUGCCUCCAAUGGCUAUCUAAAGAGCCAAACUCAGUUGUUCAUGUGAAUUUUUGCAGUUUAGCGGUCAUGACACCCGAACUUGUUGAGUUUGGUUGGGGACUUGCAAAUACAAAUUAUCCCUUCUUGUGGGUAAUUAGGCCUGAUUUCAUUGUUGGCGAAUCAGCAAUUUUUGCACCUGAGUUUGUGGCUGAAACCAAGGGAAGAGGUGUAAUAGUAAAUUGGUGCCCACGAGAGCAAGUCCUUAACCACCCAUCAGUUGGAGG